rnacentral:misc_RNA from 1 species
GAAAUGCGAUAAGUAAUGUGAAUUGCAAAUUCCGCGAAUCAUCGAAUCUUUGAACGCAACUUGCGCUCCCAGGUACUCCUGGAAGCAUAUUUGUUUGAGUAUCAGUAACAACUUCUUUCCACAACUGUGGUUGUAGGAAAGGUAUUGGACUUCUUGGUUACAAGUAGUCUGGAAUGUAGGCCAGCUUCUUUCAAAGUUCUAUACACUUUGAAGGCGUGUUAAAGAAGAGUUUCUUCUAUAUCGCUUAAAUUUGUAUCAGAGUUGACUGAUUGCUGUUAACAAAAAUACAAGCUUUGCUUGUGACAUUGAUCUCAAAUCAAAUAAGACUACCCGCUGAACUUAA